CCCUGCCCUUUGUACACACCGCCCGUCGCACCUACCGAUUGAAUGGUCCGGUGAAAUCUUUGGACCGUGACUUUGUCUUGCUUUCGGGCAAGACGCUGUUACGGGAAGUUGAUUAAACCUUACCAUUU
rnacentral:rRNA from 1 species